rnacentral:rRNA from 1 species
CGCACGGGUGAGUAACACGUAGGUAAUGUACCUUUGGGUGGGGAAUAACUUAGGGAAACUUAAGCUAAUACCGCAUAAUGCAGCGGCUUCUUCGGAAGACAGUUGUUAAAGAUUUAUCGCCUAAAGAGCAGCCUGCGGCAGAUUAGCUAGUUGGUAAGGUAACGGCUUACCAAGGCUACGAUCUGUAUCCGACCUGAGAGGGUGGUCGGACACACUGACACUGAAUAACGGGUCAG